AUUCAUUGGAAAUUCACAAAACAGUUGUUUCUUCAAAUAGGAGCUAUGGUGCUUGCAGAUCUUGGACACUGUUGUAUUGGUGAAUUUGAUAAAAUGUCUGCAGAACAUCAGGCUCUUCUAGAAGCUUUGGAGCAGCAAUGUGUCUCUGUUGCAAAGGCUGGCCUCCUGGCAAGUUUAUCAGCACGAACUUCUGUUUUAGCAGCGAAAAAUCCAGUUGGUGGUCAUUAAGUAUUACUUUCUAAGUCUUCAUCCAUAUAUGUUAAUUCUUUAUUGUAACACUGUCUGGAUAAUAAUAAAUACAACCUGGUUUUUCCUUGGACCA